CUCCUUCAUUACCUUUCUCCAUUCAGCUUUCUGCACUGCUUCAUCAAAUGUUAGAGGUUCAACAUCAGCAAAUAAACAAUAUAAAUCAACUUGUUCAACUGCUUCUGUUUCAUCAUAAAGAUCAUUAAGACUUCUAAAUUUUCUUCCAUGACUUCUUGUUGAUAUAGAAUGACUUAAAGAAGCCGGUGUAGCUUGUGGUGGUGG
rnacentral:lncRNA from 1 species